rnacentral:rRNA from 1 species
UACGUAGGGUGCGAGCGUUAAUCGGAAUUACUGGGCGUAAAGCGUGCGCAGGCGGUUCGUUGUGUCGGUGGUGAAAGCCCCGGGCUCAACCUGGGAAUGGCCAUGGAAACUGGCGAGCUAGAGUGUGGCAGAGGGGGGUAGAAUUCCACGUGUAGCAGUGAAAUGCGUAGAGAUGUGGAGGAAUACCGAUGGCGAAGGCAGCCCCCUGGGCUAACACUGACGCUCAUGCACGAAAGCGUGGGGAGCAAACAGG